rnacentral:rRNA from 1 species
CCUACGGGGGGCAGCAGUGGGGAAUAUUGCACAAUGGGGGAAACCCUGAUGCAGCGACGCCGCGUGAGUGAAGAAGUAUCUCGGUACGUAAAGCUCUAUCAGCAGGGAAGAAAAUGACGGUACCUGACUAAGAAGCCCCGGCUAACUACGUGCCAGCAGCCGCGGUAAUACGUAGGGGGCAAGCGUUCUCCGGAUUUAUUGGGUUUAAGGGGUGCGUAGGCGGAUUUAUAAGUCAGCGUUAAAAUGUCUGGGCUCAACCCGGGCCUGCCGUUGAAACUGGGGAGCUUGAGUGGGCGAGAAGUAUGCGGAAUGCGUGGGGUAGCGGUGAAAUGCGUAGAGAUCACGAAGAACUCCGAUGGCGAAGGCAGCAUACUGGCGCCCGACUGACGCUGAGGCACGAAAGCGUGGGGAUCGAACAGGAUUAGAUACCCUGGUAGUC